UCCAGGACUGGCCAGGAGGCCAGUGUGGUAGCCAAGGGGAGCAGUAGGGAAGAUGGGGUGUGUGGGGACAUGGCUUGGAGGAGGCAAAUGCCGGGUGGGAGAGAGCAAGGACAGAGCGCCCCACGGUCCUGCCGGGGUGUGGGGCCAGCUGGACGGCCUUGGAUAGGAGGUAUGCAUGUGAGUGCGUGUCUGUGAUGUGGACAUCUGCAUGUGGGUCCGUGUGUGGUGUUGUGCAUCCCUGUGUAUCUGUGUGUGCCCAUCUGUGCACCUGCAUCAUGUGUCUCUGAUUCAGGCAGUUAGUGCUUCUGUAUUUGUAGGUGCCUGUGGGCAUCAGUAGUGUAUUGUGGGUGUGUGUUGUGUGCCUGGAAUUUGGUGUGACUUUGUAGGUGCAGGUCUGUGUGUGUCACGUCUUUUUUUGGCAGGUGCCUGGACGUGUAUGUGUAGUGUUGUUUGUCUGCCAUGUAUUUGGGCAUGUGUGGGUGUGUGUAUGUGCAUGAGAGUGUAGCAGGAGAGUCUGUGUUCCUGUGAUUGUGGCAUGGUGACAAGUUUUGAGGUUCCUGUGGGUGCAAGGGCACGGGAAGGAGCCUUCCUGCAGACCCACCCCAGGCCAGCAGCAGCCUCUCCCCAUGGCAGCAGAUACACACUCGUUCUGAUGCUCCGGGAGGAAGCUGGGCAAGCAGCCCCAGAGCAGCAGGUGGAGAAAGCGGGCGAGGGCUCAGCUCAGCCACCUUUUCUAGGCCUUUCAGGGCCCAUCAGAAGCUCCCAUGGAAGAUGUGGAGGUUGGGGGGCAGUAGACAUUCACAGGCCUGGGAAUGGGGGUGCUUGAGUAUCUGGGGCACCCACUGGGAACUCUGGCCUCCUUGGGCUUAAUGGGUGGAGCUGGGUUUGUGCACACACGGGGUGGGGGCAACUACAUGCACUGAGCUCACGCCAGGGUGUGGGAGGAGACACUGCCCAGCGUAGGCACAGAUGAACACACGUAUGGAAGGAUAAGUAUGUAUUCAAGGGUGGACACAUGUGAACACAGACACUUGUAUGUAGGGACAAACAUUUGUGUGCAGGGACAGACACACACAUACAAAUAGACACAGGUGCAGGAGCAGACACUUCUGUGCAUAAAUGGAUAUGAGUGUACAUGGAUAAACACACAUGAUUGUCCUCUGUGGGCCCCAGAACCUCUCCUGCACACACAUGCACACACAUACACACUGACUCACACACACUCAUGUGUGUGCAGGGCCUGGUCCACCAUGCACACCAUGCAUAUA
rnacentral:lncRNA from 1 species